GGAAAUGAGGGUGAUCAGGCUGCGACAUCUGCCAUCCCAUUGAUCACCAGGGUUGAUUCGGCUGAUCUGGCUGGCUAGGCAGGUGUCCCCUUCCUCCCUCACCGCUCCAUGUGUGUCCCUCCCGAAGCUGCGUGCUUGGUCGAAGAGGACAACUUUCCCCACUAGAGGAAGACCGUUCUUCAGUAAAGGGUAUAUGAGUAGAUAUGCUCCCCUGCUGGAACCUCCGAACAAGCUCUCAAGGUCCAGAGUGAGUGGAGGGACUGUCUUUGAAAAUGUCUGAUUUUAUUCUGCUAUUGUUAGACUGGCUUUUUCA
rnacentral:snRNA from 1 species